AGCAGGAGCGGGAAGUCUCUCAUUUGCUGAAAAGUGGGCUGGGCAGCUGGUAUAAAGGCUGAAGGUAAAGGAAGUCGGUUCUCUCAAUUUUGUCAUGCAAAGGCAGAUUUUCUUCGACCAUCUUACAGAGAGAAAUGAAAGAGGAAGAAGCCCUAAGGGUAUUGUGAAGAGGUAUGGUCGGGAAGGUCGAAAUAUUUAAGGAAAACAGCAAGGUGUUCAAAAUUUGGCAGAAACAGGGACGUUCUAAUUUGAAGUAGAUUUGUGAUUAUUGAGGGAUUUUCGAAGCUCCAAACUCUGAGGUUAGUGAUUCUCUGCCGAAUAGGGCAGUGUUCGUAAUCAUAACGUUGGGUAGCGCAGGUUUGAGGUUAUUUGGUCUAGAAUUGAUGAAUUUAGAGCUAUUUUCGGUAAGCAGAAUCUGUCGCGAACAGGGGUAGAACCGAAAAGAAGAUCGAUCGAGUUCUCUCCAACCAGUCGUGCAAUUGAAAAAUUUCCUCCAUGAAAGUUGAAGAGGAUUGGGUGAGGAAGACCACUGAUGGCUGCUGAAGGAAAAAGUGAUCGGAAAGGCCAUCAAUUUGGAAGGAAACAGUAGGUUGCGACAGUUUUAGCAAAAACAGAGCAAUCGGGAAAACUAUGGGAAUUUGGGGCUAUCCGAGGUAAUUUGUGGACUUUAAACCUAUGGUUAAUUUAGUUUAGAGGUAGUUAAAAGAGCUUUAUGGAAGAAAUUUGGGUGGUUUGUGGGGCUGGAUUGAAUGAAAUCAGAGUUCAAAUAAUGGUAGAAGCUGGCCGAAAACACAAUGAUCUUACAAAGGCCUUAAGCUGUCCCUAUUGACAAAUUCUUUAAUUUUGAACUAUUUAAGUGCUACUAAGCCAAGAUUGAGAUCCAAUUAGUAUCUUAGAGAGGUUAUGACACUAAAAGUGAAUUAAGAGGGACCUUAGGCUACAUUUGAAUUACUUUAGGGGCUAAAGUGCAAAAACCCUAAAAUGUGAAAGAAUCGGGGUUUAAGGAAAAAAUAAGUGGAAAUAGUUAUUCUUAAGGGAAGAAUCAUUUGAGUUUAGUUUAUGUUUGAUUUAGGAAAUAACUAAGAGCUCGUAACACUGAUUGUAGGUUAAAUCAAGGUUGGAAAAAUUAGGAAUUACCGAAGAGAAGCAUAUAUACUGGGGCAAAGGAGUUCCGGGUGCCACAAGAAAUCGAAGUGUACCAUUGCAUCAAGUCAUUCAUAUAGUUCAAGUUUUGUAGUCUGUAUAUGUAUGUAUGGUUGAACUGAGUUUCAAUUGGGAUGAUAUAGAUUGGGGAAAGCGUGUAAUAGAAGUGUAAUUACUAGUGAUGGCUCGUUGUAAAGUAAAUUCAUUUAAUUUGUGCAUUGUCUCAGAAAAACUACAUGUCUUACUGAUGAUUCUCAUAACGAGCUGCAUGUGUCGAGCUAAAAUCAUUUGAUUAUGACUAUGUUCAUAAGUGUUUUAAGAUGA